GGAAACUCGUCCUAUAACAUAGGGGGGUGGAGGAGGCCACUCACCGGGCUAAGAAGUCGAGGGUUUUUACACACGCCUCCAAUCUCGCCAAGACUAUUUUUGAGCUGAUCGAGACAUUAAUACUGUUCCAGCCGCUGGGCGACUGACCAUUCCUGCUAAUAAUCGGGGGUGGUGGGUGGUGGUAAAUUAGAUUAUACUUUCUCUCAAUGGGACAUGGGGAUUAAUGACUGGGGGAGGGCCAGUCUGUUUGCAGGCUGGAUGCUGAGACUGCUCUGCCGUGGAGGUGUGUGGCAGAAGCUGGAAGCAGCACUGCUGUGGUGGUGGAUUUGAGUUCUUCCAAGACAGGCAAAGGUGUUUGCACAGCCAAAAGAGCAGUGCCCUCCCUUGGGCACAGGAUUGGCUUGCCUGAGAACUGCAGGGCGUAACAAGAACCGGAGUCUUCCUAGCCACUACCUCUGCUCCUACAACCACUACCCCGCAGCACCUGACCACAUAUAUCAUAGGGACAUAGGAAGCUGCCAUAUACUGAGUCAGACCCUUGGUCCAUCUAGCUCAAUAUUGUCUACUCAGACUGACUACAGUGGCUUCUCCAAGAUUGUAGGCAGGGGCGUAGCAAGGUUGGAGUGGGCCCAGAGACAAGAUUUUAAAAUGCCCCCCCUUCACUGAAGCUCAGCUCAUGAAGUAAAGAAAUCUUAAAUGAGGCUGAAUAGUGGUAACAAAAAGCAUAGUGAAAUUUUUAUAGAUAUAUAAAACCUAUGUGCCACAAUAGAACAUCAUCCUAAAUUAUUUUUUUUAAGGUUUUGUAAACUGGACGAUGCAAGUCAUUUAAUGGUACUAGAGAAAGGCAUGCUGUUCUGGUAGCUCCAGGUCUUAACACUCACAUCAAUUUCGGAGGAUGAAUACAACUGAAGGAAGCCCAGGCAGGGUGGACCCUGCUUAGUUAAGGGGACAAGUCAUGCUUGCUACCACAAGUCCAGCUCUCCUCUCAUCAGAGGCACUACCUUAGCAAGAAAGACUGCCAAGUAUGAAUCCCUGCAAGGAAAGAUUGCAUCUCUGAGGAGGAGAGGGGACAGUUUGAUGAGACAUCGAGAAGGAGAUUUCUGUGUGAGGAAGAAACCAAUGUCUUUUAAGAACCUUCAGCAGUAGCAGCUCUGCAAUGUUCAGUCACUCAACUAGCCAGGACCAAAAAGGAUGAGAGUCUGAAAAGCCAAGACUACCUGAAGCAAUCCCUGGUCUGAUAAUCUGAAAGAGUUUGAGAACCUAAUUUUGCCUCAGCUGGCAGAAAUCUUGCUACUUCCAGCUACAGUUGACCAUUCUUUUCACCACUGAAUAGAAUUUUGUGUUCUGAAAAAAGUUCUUUUUGCCUGAUCAUAUGAAUGAACUAAUGAGCAUAUCAACUGAAGGGUCAGAAGUACCGGAUACAGGAGAGGCUACUGAAGAUGGAGCAUGCUGCAUUCAACAUGUUCAUUAACCGAAUCGUGCAAAGUUACAACAAAACCCCCAGAACAAUGUAGAUGUGAUGCUUCAUAGAAGCUUAAGUAGUAAACUUUAAUGUCUUUGAAGAUAGUUAAAGAAAAGAUAUUAAAACAUAUGUUAAAUCUAAUUUAAAA